rnacentral:rRNA from 1 species
CAGUCGCCGCGGUAAUACGAAGGGGGCUAGCGUUGCUCGGAAUUACUGGGCGUAAAGGGCGCGUAGGCGGACAGUUUAGUCGGGGGUGAAAGCCCGGGGCUCAACCUCGGAAUUGCCUUCGAUACUGGCUGUCUUGAGUACGGGAGAGGUGAGUGGAACUCCGAGUGUAGAGGUGAAAUUCGUAGAUAUUCGGAAGAACACCAGUGGCGAAGGCGACUCACUGGCCCGUUACUGACGCUGAGGCGCGAAAGCGUGGGGAGCAAACAGGAUUAGAUACCCCCGUAGUCCCUGUCUCUUAUAC